UUCUUCUUUACUAUAAUCCCCACCAACCACCCCUACCCCUUCUCAUCCCUCUGUAACACAAUCAAACCCCUCUCAUAACCACCAGAUCCACAACCCUCAACUAUCAACACCACCGUAACCCACCACUAUUGUCGUAACCUGUCACGUCACCACCGCCGUCUCCGUCACCGGACACCAUUUCUGACUCUCACAACCAUCAUCAUCGUCGUCAUCGUGUUCACCUCGUCACUGCAGCUUAGCGAUUCAUGGGAGCAAUGAUUUCUCUCCGGUUCUCUCUCUAAACGUCUCUUGCUGCUGGAUCCCUUAUUAUGUUGAUUUCUUGGGCUACAAAAGUUGCUAAAGCACCUAAUACUGAUAUGGAGUUCUAGAAAUCGAUUGUACCUGGCCCAUACCCACUUCAAAAAUCCCUAUAUCUCAAGCAUUUGAACUCUCAUCCAGUAAUUUGAAAGCUUCGGAAGUGGUUAGCAACAAUUCAAUCCAGUCAUGGAGAGUAAUUUGAAAGCUUCGGAAGUGGUUAGCAACAAUUCAAUCCAGUCAUGGGUUAGUACUUUUAUAACUUUAAUUUGAUUCUAUACAUGUUAUUUUCAGUUUGUUUGUAUUUUGAUGGAUUGUAUUUUGAUUUUUAAUCGACAAUGGAACAUGAGGCUUUUCACUGGUAGAUGAAAAUAGGUAAAAAUGUUGAAUGGGUCUAAGUGAGUUGAACAAAAAAGAUGAACGAGACUAACUAGGAUGAAAAAGAAAGAAUGGGGAUAUUUUUAUUCAGAUUUUUGUUUUUUUUUACAUUGUGCUUAGAGAACAAAAUGAGCUUUGAUUGCAAAACUUUGGAUUCGAAAUUGGUAGUUAGAGCGAUAUGACUGUUAUACAAACUAAUCAGAUUCGCCAACGAUUUACGAGUGCCGAGAUCGAGAGGUAAGAAGAUCUAAAACUCAUUGGUGGAAAAGAUUGUUUGGGUGUUGAUGUAGUCGGCAUUUGGGAUCUCAAGGUGAGUUUAUAUUGUCUAACAAUUAUAUUGUCUAACAAUUAUGAUAAUCUAAGAACGAGUGGCUAUAGGAUUCUAAGAACGUUCUUCCACUACAAGGUGAGUUUAUCUUACAAUUAUUUUCUUUUUUUUAGUUCUCUGACGAAUUCGAUUUUAAGAUUAGGUUUUAUUUUUUGUUCAGAUUAUGUUAUUUGAGUUGAUAAGAUGAAAAAGAACUUGAACACUACGACUUUCAUGGGUGGUGAUUUCCAGAUUUAGGAUGACGGUUCACUUUUUGGCUUUUGCCAAUUGUCUCUCGAAGGACGGUUCUAUAAGAGAGUAAAUGAUGGUUUUUGGAUUUCUAUUGAACUUGAGGGAAGCAAGGUUUAGGCCGUUCUUGAAUACCACAGGACUGUGCCCUAAGUAUAAAGAUCAGAUUGAAACACACGAAUAAGGGAGCUCCAUUGUAUGGAAAUUAGCAGGCGAGAGCUUCAGUCAGCGGAUUUGGAUGAGGUUCUGAUGACGAAAGGGAAAAUUAGACACAUGAACCCAUUUCAAGGUUCUUUUUAACUUUGUUUUUAACUUCUUUUGAUUAUUAUAGAUUUAGAAUUCUAAUGUAUAAACACCAUACAAAUUGUUUGUGGCUUUGAUUAACUUUCUCUGUUUGUUUGGUGGCCUAAAAAUGGUGAUUGAAUCAUCUUUGACUCAAGAAAUUGGUAGAAGAAGACGCUCCAAUUCGAUUUGGAUAUAUGAUCUAACUGGCACUAAGAUGAAGAAAGCUAUUCAGCCUUUUUAGAGCUGCACGUAGAACAAUAUUUUGGAUAAAGAAGGCAUGUCGAUUGAUAUCUAGACGCUAUUGUUGCACUAACAAGCAUUUAAGUAACUGGGGCUGUCUUAAUGCCACAAAGAUUUCGAAGGAACAAUUUAAUUGCAAUGUGGAUGUGUUCAAUAGUUUUGUACUUGGUUCGAUUAAAGAGCGAUGGGUGAUGCUUCUGAGCUUUAAGAGACGGAACUACAGGGGGGUCAGCUGACCCUCCGGCCGGCAAAAUUUUCGGUUUUUUGAAGUGUUGAGCGAAUUUUUUUUAUAACUGACCCUCCUCAUUGUCUUGUGUAAAGCAUUAAAUCUAGAAGAAAAAUUUUGAAAGUUUUCCGGCCGACGAGCGGUGUUCUGACGGGUGUGAGCAGCUCUCCGAUGUGUUUGCGAAGUUGCAGGUUUAAACAAAGAAGAAGACAGAAAAAGACGUUAAAGGGUUUCUGUUGCAAUGUUUUUGGUAACCCGCUGGUGAAGAUCUUUUCUUCAAUUAUUACUUCCUCCAGUCAUCUUUAAUGCUGGGUCAAUUCUACAGGCAUCUUUACUGGACUAGUCAAAGCAUCUACAAUACAAGAAUUAAAAACGCCAGCCACGUCACUUCUGUCCACUCUGCCCGAGCUUUGGUCCUCACAUAAUAAUAACCCGUGACCCGAUUCCUAUGGUUCCUACUGCUCAUUACAUGUGCGGUGGUGUUCAGGAUGAGCUUUAAGGAGAUUGGACUUUAUGUUGCAAAUUAAACUUUCUUCACCUCUGCUGUCUAUUUUAGUCAAAUGGGACUAAUGUCUUACUCUAUAUUUGAUACAUAUUUUUUUAUAUUUGGCGUUGAGUCUUUUAUAUACGCUAUUUCAAUCAAUCCCGAACAAUCUUUGGUACAUAAGGUAUACUAGCAAAUUGACUUAGUAGGCAUUUCACUUAUUAA
rnacentral:lncRNA from 1 species